CUUCAGACUCAAACUGAACUAUCAGCUCUUCUUGGCUUUCGGACUGGAACUAUGCCGUCAGCUGUCCUGGAUCUCCAGCUUGCUGACUGCUGAUCUUGGAACGUCUCAGGAUCCGUAAUCAUGUACCACUGUUCCUUCUCCGGAAUUGGGAGGUCCCACAAUGUAGGAGCUGAUCUUAUACUUUUUCAAAGCUCACGGUGACUGACACAGUCAUAAUUAUCCAGAAGGUGCUCAAUUCAUCAGCCUAAAGUGAUCUGACAGAGUCCAGAAGUUCUGCUGUUGGCUCAAGCCUCCAUUGGUUACACAAGAAAGCAGCACGCGUAAUAAAGAACUAAAUCUUGAUACAGAGUCAAGUCAUAGAAAUUGGAGUUAUGACUUCGUAACCGGCAAUCAUAAAACUGGGAGGGAACCACACAGCCCAGGAAGGAAGAGUACAGAUUUUGAACGUCCCAGAACAACCUGCUAUUUGGUGUAAUGAUAACGGACGCAUGCAAAGUCGGGCCACCCACUCCAAAAUCUGCUUUAAUUUCAUCUCUCAGGAAAAAUUCACUCCAAGCAGGACUCACGGAUUUAAAAGGAGAUUGAUGCCCAAGAUGAGAGAGUGCUUGUCACGGAACAUGAGCUCAGUUCUCGUCUCCUGGUC